GGCAAAUAAAUAUUGACUCUAGACUUAAUCUUGAUUUUUAAAAUAUUGUUUUCCUCUGCCUUUCUGAUUUAAAUAGACAAAUUUAGCAAAAAAAGAAAAAUGUCUUUUCUACUGAAUGUCAGUGCCCUUAGCUACCUAGACUCUCCUCCUGGUGUUCUCUGAGAUGAACAGAUGAUCUCACUCUGUCAGCCUGAGGACAGACAGCUCGAUGACAGAAGCAGCUCUCCACAGCUUUGCACUGAGGUGGUUGCCCCUAGUCGAGCCACUGGAUCAAGCAUCUCCCGGUGAGAUAGUAGAUGACAGAAGCCUGUCUUUCAAUACCCCUACCACGCAGUUAGUUCUUAAAUAAAACAAAAACCACCAAAUAAAUAAAUAAGAAUAAAAUAACCUAGUAUUGUUCACAUCUUAAUUCAGUUCUCACCAAGUGAAAACCGCUUUGUGCACAGGAGAAAGUUAACUUUUCGUGGUGGGAACCUGGGGACCAUUUCUAAAUGCUGUGUUGCAAUUCCACAUGGCCACUUCUUUUAUGCUAAUCCUGUAUUAUUUGUGUGUGUGCACUCAAGGUGAUAGUCUGUGCCUAGAUCUAAACUACACCAGCGUGGGGAUUUAAAAAAAAAAUCCUUCAAAACACCAGUUCUUUCCCCCCAUAAGUACAAAUGUCCUUGUGCCUUCUGUGGCUUUCUGUCUUCUUUUCACUUUAUUUCCAAGUACAGCUGCAAUAAACACUAAUUUCUUUUCCUGGCCGUUUGACAUGAUGUUGAUAGCUAUGCAUAUUUUGCGUCUUUUUAAAACAAAGCGGGAGAAUAAUGUUUUUGAAGAAGAGAAAUUUUUAGAACAGUUUGAUACACCGCAAAUUAUUUUUUUUUCUCAAUUGUCUGAGCAGCAUUCGCGUUUUUGAGAUUCUUGUAGAAGCCGAUUUUUUUGUAACUGUGGUGUAGCUCUCGUGUGUUAUUAGCCUAAUGAGAAGCACUAUAGAAGCAAUAUUUCAUACCAUGUGCAAUGUGUGUGCAGAAGUGUGGGCGUGAGCACGCAGGCACACACAUGUAAAAAUAUACAUAUGUAUGCGUGUGAAGUGGAAAGCUUACCUUUUCUUAUCUAGACUUUAAGAACCUAUUUUAGGCAUUUGUUAUGUUUUGUGUAAAGAAUGUUCUAUUUGCAACAACACGACCCUGACUUCUUACCGUCUCUCUGGCAGUUCAAUGGAGGUGUUUUGCAUUAAAUGGUAAAAUUGCGUGGAAGAUGUUAGGAUCUAGUAAUUAUUUCAGUGAAUGUUCAUACCAUAUUCCUGAAGUUUGCUUUGUGCCUCUGAGUGUUACUUAAUUGAAGUAUUUUAUGUUUGAAGAAUCCUUGUUACUGUGCUAGGAAUAUGGGUGACUAUCAUUUUUAAAAUAUUUUAAAAACAUCAAAACAAAAAAAAAACACUAAAGCAAAGGGGAACUUUUAUAAGGAAAUGUAAAUAUUUAACCUCAUGGCCGUUGUUACGUAAGACAGACAUGAGAUCUUAAUAAAUAGCUACAGUCUCACAGCAUCUGUUGAAUUUAUUAGGGACAUUACACUGACUGUACAGGCAGUUGAACGCAUCUCAAAAGUCCUGCUCUUGCAAAAGAUACCAGUUUCUCUCUAUCAGAGGGCAAGGGCAAGGAUACAGGCGACUCUGUAAAUCUAUGACAUUUCUUUUCUGUGUACAUGAAGACAUUUAGUAAGUAAUCCCCCAAGUCCCCACACAUGCAGGUUAAUAUCAAUCAAUUAAUUAAAGAGUUGGGGGUUAACCAUAGGCUGCUCCCCAAAAGCAACCAUAAAUUAAUCAAAGCCAGAGUGGUUUACAGAUAUCCCCCCAAAAGCAGCAAUGUGUGUAAGGACAUGAACAAUCCCUUUGCCAUGUGUAUUAUAGAGAAUUCAUUGGUGUGAACAGCACAACCGUUUCCUACUGGUGUAAACUCCGUGUCUGCAGAUUUACAGCGUUGUUUUCAAAGGCUCCCUUCGGAACGUGUAACGGUUGGUUUGUGUCGCUGUGUCACACUUACACGCAAGGAAGCUGAGUUUUGCCUCUGUAGAUCUGUUGGUUUUAAACCGUCUAAAAGACUAAAGCUAAAAUGCUCCUCUUCAGAGCUGAGGUCCAAGCCAGUGUUUAAUCUUUGCAUCCUUUUGAGUGAUCCUUCUAAGACUAAGUGGAAGCAUGUGGACUUUGAGUCUUUUCAACCGAGCGCUCUCUCAAAUCAGACACCCCCUAAUGUGCAGACACGGGAAUGAGCAGGCAAAUGGUUGGCCUGUCUUUGGGAAAACGGAUUCACUUUUUUAAAUAACCAAUUCCUCUGCAUAUGGGGGGGAAUAAAGCAGUUUAAAGUUGUAUAUUGCCACUUCAAAUUGAGGGGAAAAAUUUAAUGUAUUUGGAGUUGGUCUCAGAUCUCUAAAAGAGUCAAAGGUCACAGCUUCCCCCAACAUUGUCCCAGCCAUUUCUCAUAUGUAUAUAGUAUAAACCGUGACAAACACUGCCUUUAUAUUAUUUAGCAAUAUGUUGUAAAUAGCAUUAUGAAGCUCUUUUUUUGUAAUAAAGACCCUAUGAUUUGAAUAUAGUACAAUAACUGAGCUGAUAAAGUCAAUUUUUGAAUUUUUUUUUAGCUAGAGGCAAUUUCAAUUGUGCAUUUUUGUUAUUGUCUAUUGUUCUGAAGACUGCAUAAUUUAUUGGUUUAAUUUAUCCUAAUUUAUUUGAUGAAGGUGUACAAUUUUGUAUUACCAAGGAUGUACUGUAAUAUUAAUUGAUAGGAUUAAAAACAGUGAGACUCCCUGUCCAUAUUC
rnacentral:lncRNA from 1 species